rnacentral:lncRNA from 1 species
GAUUAUUUUAAAUGUUUUCUUUACUCAAGCAGGUGGAUUUAGGGCAUGACGGUAAUAAUAAACACUCCUCUAAAGAACAGAUUUUGAUCAAGGAAGUCUCCAAUUGGUUCCAUAUAUAAUCUUUACUCUUUUCGUUUUCCCAGGGCAAAAACUGCACAAAAGAAACAAACCACUGCUCUUGAAAUAUAAUACCAGUGGAAAAAAACAAACAAACAAAAAACAAACAAAACCUCAAGACAAAAACUGGCCUAACAAUGCAAACUAGAACUUAAAUAAGAUCUUACCACACCUCUGCAGCCACCCAUAUCCAGUGUGUAUCCUGGAAAGACUUAUGACUAACCAAAGAGAGGAGAGACCAUGAAAAGAGUCAGUCAUGGAUUUUUAAUUUGCUACGCUUCCUCUUCAGGUGAGAGGACUUGGGACUCUGUAGUGAAAGGAGACUGCGGGUGAGAGGCUGAAGAACCGCUCCCCAGCAUUCUACUUCUUUGAAAUAAAGAAAGUUGAAAAGAGGGCGCUUCUUUUUCUGCCAAAGAUCUGGAAACACUUUGUCCCUGGAUGGACUUUCAGCCAAAUGAGGAUCUCCAUAGGAAUGGAAGAAAUCACACGCUCUGCUCCAGGAUCCUACAUUUGCCAGUCUUCAUGAAAAGUGAAAAUGGGCUGAUUCUGAUGGCAGCGAUCUUUGACUAC